CAUCACUACGCUAGAUGCAUAUCAAUAAGCGGAGGAAAAGAAACUAACAAGGAUUCCCCUAGUAACGGCGAGUGAAGCGGGAAGAGCUCAAAUUUGAAAUCUUAAAGGUUUUACCUUGACGAAUUGUAGUUUAAAGAAGUGUUUUCUGUUGGAGUUUCGGUAAAAGUUCUUUGGAAUAGGACAUCAUAGAGGGUGAGAAUCCCGUAUUUGACCAUUACUUUCCAGCUGUGUGAUACACUUUCAAAGAGUCGGAUUGUUUGGGAAUGCAGUCCAAAAUGGGUGGUAGAUUUCAUCUAAAGCUAAAUACUGGCGAGAGACCGAUAGCGAACAAGUACCGUGAGGGAAAGAUGAAAAGAACUUUGAAAAGAGAGUUAAACAGUACGUGAAAUUGUCAAAAGGGAAGCGUUUGACACCAGUGUUGUUUUCUCGGAAAUCAAUUAAAAAUGCUGGGAUUUUGUGUUGUAUUGACUUUAUCAGCUUUCUGCACUUUUUUCCUUAUCUUUUUUAAUGCACUUUUCGUUUAACAAGUCAACAUCAGUUUCUUUUGUUGUAAAAGAGUCAUUGGAAGGUGGCUUUCUUUUCGGAGAAAGUGUUUAUAGCCUUUGGCUCUCUGCAAUCGGAGAGAUUGAGGUCUGCAGCGUAGAUCCUUCGGGGUUAAAUACAUUUGUGCUAAGCUAUAGCUUUUUAUAGACAACUUGUUGACUAUGAUCAGUCAUGUAGCUUACUCGCUUAUGCUAUUUUACCUACGCUUAGGAUGUUGAUAGUCACAGCGUGUAC
rnacentral:rRNA from 1 species